AGGCUGCAACUCGCCUGCAUGAAGGUGGGAAUUGCUAGUAAUCGCGAAUCAGAAUGUCGCGGUGAAUACGUUCCCGGGCCUUGUACACACCGCCCGUCACACCAUGAGAGUCGAUAACACCCGAAGCCUGUGAGCUAACCUUUUAGGAGGCAGCAGUCGAAGGUGGGGUUGAUGAUUGGGAUGAAGUCGUAACAAGGUACC
rnacentral:rRNA from 1 species